AAGUUUUAAAUUAAUUUUCAUUAGUUUCCUAUAACUCAAUGGUGUAACCACCAAGUAACAUAUUCAUUUGAAGUUAUGAACUGUCCAUUUAUUUCUUAUAUUUGGAUAACUAAACCAUCUCUGAUUUCAAUGAUUGAUUUUUUAUUUUUUGUAAAUGUAACAACACAUCCUUAAUUUUACAAUUUUAUUAAUUUUAAAAGAGUGAAUUGAUGAAAAUGCCCAUAGAGGGGAGGUUAUUGACUUUCAUUGACCGUUAUUUCUUGAUGCAUGUGAGCUAUUGUUUUACUGUAUUUUCGAAGUA
rnacentral:lncRNA from 1 species